rnacentral:rRNA from 1 species
GACGAACCGUGCGAACGUUAUUCGGAAUCACUGGGCUUAAAGGGCGCGUAGGCGGGUUGCCAAGUCUGUGGUGAAAUCCUCCAGCUUAACUGGAGAACGGCCGUGGAUACUGGCGACCUCGAGGGGGGUAGGGGCUUGCGGAACUGUGCGUGGAGCGGUGAAAUGCGUUGAUAUGCACAGGAACUCCGGUGGCGAAGGCGGCGAGCUGGACCCUUUCUGACGCUGAGGCGCGAAAGCGUGGGGAGCGAACAGG